GGCUGGGUGGCCUAGUGGAUAGGGCACUGAACUGGGACUCAGGAAACCUGAGUUCUAUUCCCAGCCCAGGCC
rnacentral:tRNA from 1 species